rnacentral:misc_RNA from 1 species
UCCGGUUUAACACCGGCAGUCUCCCUAGAGUGCCCAACUAAAUGGUGGCAACUAGGGACAAGGGUUGCGCUCGUUAAGGGACUUAACCCGACAUCUCACGAUACGAGCUGACGACAGCCAUGCAGCACCUGAACCGCCGGCCCCCGAAGGGGAAAUUUCAUCUCUGAAACUGUCCGACGUUGUCUAACCCAGGUAAGGUUCUUCGCGUUGCAUCGAAUUAAACCACAUGCUCCACCGCUUGUGCGGGCCCCCGUCAAUUCCUUUGAGUUUUAACCUUGCGGCCGUACUUCCCAGGCGGGGUACUUAAUGCGUUAGCUACGACACUGCAGGGGUCAAUUCCCGCAACAUCUAGUACCCAUCGUUUACGGCGUGGACUAC